ensembl:lincRNA
AUGCGGGUGUCUCUGGGGAAGGUGGCGCUGCUUACUGUGCCUCUCCUCUGCUCUAAAACCAGCCAUGGCUCAGUCCUCAUUGUAGCUCACAGCAUCCGGAGUGGUCCAGAAGCUGUAUCCUCCUGCCCCAGGGCCCUUGCGCUGGCGGUGCCUCCUCCCGGGAGCCCCCUUCCUGAGACCCCAGGCUCUUCCUCACUCACCUACGACUCAGCGCUGGGUCUCAGAGAUGCCCACCGGGCCCCUCGCUGCCCACCCCCACCUUGCAGUCACCCCAGCCUGUACUCCCUGAAGCACCCACCAGAGGGCGCCAUGAGCACCGAGUCAGGUCCUCCCCCUCCGCCCUUAGCCCUCCCGGCUCCCACCUCCCUGGGCCAAAGCCCAAGUCCUCCCUGCAGCCCACAGGGCCCUGACCACCCAUUGCCUCUCCGCCUCCCCUGCUCCAGCCACACCAGCUCCUACUGCUCCUGCAUCGCGUCCUGGCCCAGGCCCUGGGAAGUUUCUCCAAGGAAUCACGUGGGCUGGCUUCGAACUUUCAAUCCGCCUGCCUCAGCCUCCUCUGAGCAGCCCGGCCGCUUUGCGUUCUCUGGGAAUCGGGCACGGCGUAAACUCCGGGACGCCUGGUUCCUUUCAUUCCGCCUCACGAUUCCCAGGCUCUGCGCUGUUUUGACUUUUUUUUUUCUUUUUUUGGUUUGUUUUUUUGGACAGGGUCUCCCUGUGUACUUGAGACUGACCCGGAACUCACUAUGUAGCCCAGGCUGGUCUCGAACUCACAGCGAUCCUCCUGCCUCAGCCUCCCGAGAGCUGGGAUGACAGGCGUGCGCCAUCACGCCCGGCUCUCUGCGCCGUUUUGAGACCUCGGUGGUGCGGAUGGACCUCACGCGCUGAUCUGUCCUGCAACGGCCUGACGCCUGCGCGGCUGCUGCUUGGGCUUUCGCGAAUCAGGCUGGUCUGAACACAGGACGUCCGAGCCACGCCCACCCGGGGGCCACGCCCCAACCCAGUCAAGGCAUUGGCCAAUGCGACGACCACGCCCCCGGGGCCCUCUCUCUCCUCCCACCAGGGCCCACCCCUUAAAGGUCCCACCACCUCCCAGCAGCAGAAGCAGGUUGGCACGGAGCCUUCCACACGAAGGCCUUUGGGGUUCGCUCCAGGGCCAGGUGGAGCGGGGCUGAGCAUUUUAACCGCGAUGAUUGAGCAUCCACGGGGCUGGGCCUGGGUGGUCCCGUUGCAUCUCCCAGUGACUCAGUGCUGGUCCGAAUGUCGCUUACAGGGGAGGAAACCGAGGUCCGGCCACGUGAGUGAGGGGCGGGCCUGACUUGAGCCCAAGACCGCCGGGCUGCACUGCCCCGAACUGGGACGGAACUUGGGGCGUCUGUCUCCCUUUGCCAGCUCAGCACAGUGCUCGCUCCCUGAGGCUGCAGCAUCCAGUAGCUCAGUAAGUGUGCGCCGAAACUCACAGGGGAGCCGUACAGCAGCUGCGCACCGGAUCCCACUUCUCCACCCCAAACCUUCGAGGGCUCCCUGCGGCCCUGAGUUAAAGUUUAACCUGUGGGACCCCUGUUCCUGCUCCUGCUCCAGCCGCGCCAGGUUCCUUGCUCUUCUGUGGUCCUGCCGCAGGGCCUUUGCUGGUCCCAGUGCCCGGGAUGCUGUGCAGUACUCUCGUUUCUGAGACAGGGUCUCACCGUGUAGCCCAGGCGAUCCUCCUGCUUCAGCCUCCUACUGGAUACCAGGCCCCCGGGGAGUACCAUGCAGGGUCAGAGUUGCUCCCGGUGAAGUUGCCCGCUGGUGGGGGUCUCAGGACCCCCAUCCCUGUGAGCUCUCCAGAGCCACAGCAAGGCCAGAUCUUGAGGAUCCCUCAGAGCCACGGAACCGCCUCGGCGCGCGGGUGCUGGUGCAGGCGGCAAACAGAUGCCGGCUAUUUAAAACCCAAUGUUAACUCGUUAGACAGCUGUUUCCCAUCCCUGAAGUCGGCGGAAUUAGAAUUAAAUUCAUUCCCGAAUUAAACACACACACAUAUCGGAGACGAGACUCGUUAGCAUUUCGGCAGGCAGCGGCUCUGAGCCGGGGACGGGACGGAGGCUCAGCUUCCGCCUGACAGGUGACAUCACGGCCCAGUGGUUGCCAGCUGGGCUUGGGGCUGCUACACCAGGGACCCAGAUCCUCAUCAGCCUCUGCCACGAGCAUCCAGCUGCCACGUGGUCCCCCCUCCCCCGCAGGCUCCACGUGAUUAGGCAAUAAAAUCCACAUGGUCACCAAGGCCCUCUGUCAGGAGCCCAUAUCCUCUCGUCCCCACCACCCAUGCCUUACCUUGCCCUUAGAUCCAGCCACUCUGGUGGCCCCAGGGCCUUUGCACACGCUGCUCUGCCCCUCCAGAGAACUCUGGUCUCACCCCACCCUGUCUCUUCCUGCCAAAUCCUCCUCAUCCUUCAGCUGCCUGUUGAAAUGUUCCCCACGCAGACAGGAUGUCCCUCACUAUCCCUUGCCAUCACCC